AUAAACCCGCACACUCCUGUAGCUCAACCCCAAAGCGCUGGC
rnacentral:tRNA from 1 species